UACGGAGGGGACUAGCGUUGUUCGGAAUUACUGGGCGUAAAGCGCACGUAGGCGGAUUGUAAGUCAGGCGUGAAAUUCCUGGGCUCAACCUGGGGACUGCGCUUGAUACGGCAGAGCUAGAGGAUGGAAGAGGCUCGCGGAAUUCCCAGUGUAGAGGUGAAAUUCGUAGAUAUUGGGAAGAACACCGGUGGCGAAGGCGGCGAGCUGGUCCAUUACUGACGCUGAGGCGCGACAGCGUGGGAGCAAACAGGAUUA
rnacentral:rRNA from 1 species